GGGCCCGUGGCUUAGCACGGAUAAAGCACCGGCCUUCUAAGCCGGGGAUCGCGGGUUCGAAUCCCGCCGGGUCCG
rnacentral:tRNA from 1 species